AUACGGAGGGGGCUAGCGUUGUUCGGAAUUACUGGGCGUAAAGCGCACGUAGGCGGAUUAAAAAGUUAGAGGUGAAAUCCCAGGGCUUAACCCUGGAACUGCCUUUAAAACUAGUAGUCUAGAGUUCGAGAGAGGUGAGUGGAAUUCCAAGUGUAGAGGUGAAAUUCGUAGAUAUGUGGAGGAACACCAGUGGCGAAGGCGGCUCACUGGCUCGAUACUGACGCUGAGGUGCGAAAGCGUGGGGAGCAAACAGGAUUAGAAACCCUAGUAGUCC
rnacentral:rRNA from 1 species